rnacentral:rRNA from 1 species
AUUGAACGCUGGCGGCAGGCUUAACACAUGCAAGUCGAGCGAGCGGCGGACGGGUGAGUAAUGUCUGGGCAACUGCCCGAUGGAGGGGGAUAACUACUGGAAACGGUAGCUAAUACCGCAUACUAUCAGAUGAACCCAUAUGGGAUUAGCGAGUAGGUGGGGGAAUGGCUCACCUAGGCGACGAUAUCUAGCUGGUCUGAGAGGAUGAAUAGCCAAUCGGGAAUUGAGACACGGCCCAGCUUCCUACGGGAGGCAGCAGUGGGGAUUAUUGCAAAAUGGGGGCAAGCUGGCGGCAGCCAUGCGGCGUGUAUGAAGAAGGCCUUAGGGUUGUAAAGUACUUUCAGCGGGGAGGCGUUACCCGCAGAAGAAGCACCGGCUAACUCCGUGCCAGCAGCCGCGGUAAUUC